CGAUACUCACUAUCUUAAAAAGCUAGUGAGCAGCGGCACGUGUUGCAUUUGUUUAUAUGCGAAAUGAACAAGAAAAUAGUUAUAAAUAAACGUGUGAAGGGCCAAUCUCGCGAAGAGUUGGCCCAGUUAAGCAAAACAGAAUUGAUUGACAAAAUUGUGCAGCUGGAGGCGUACAAUUUUCAGCUGAAAAAUCUUUUACAAAAGAAACUGUCCGAGGCGGACAAAAACAAUUCUGAAUAUGCUGCAGUAUUGCGCGGGGCUGACGGGGAUGAGUUACCAAAUAAAGUUGUUUCAGAAACCGUCAAAGAUGUACCUAAAAACAAAGAUAAACAACGUAAGUUUAACUGGGCCAGUGCGCACCAGAGGCAUGUUUUGAUGAAAAUAACGUAUUUUGGCUGGGAUUAUCAAGGGUUUGCUUGUCAGGAGGACUCCGCUGAUACGAUUGAAGGAUAUUUGUUUCGUGCCUUGGAACGCACCUGCCUCAUCGAAUCCCGUGCUACUUCCAACUACCAUCGAUGCGGUCGCACCGACAAGGAAGUGAGCGCCUUCUGCCAAGUGAUAUCAAUUAAUUUGCGUAGCAAGCACUCACCCGAUACUCAAAUGAAGCCAGAGUCGCUAAACACUGAAAUAGAUUAUUGCAGUCUGCUAAAUCGGGUGCUGCCCAAAAAUAUUCAAUGCGUAUCCUGGAUGCCGUUGCGAAAUCCCGACUACAGCGCUCGAUUUGAUUGUAUUUCACGCACCUAUCGCUACUAUUUUCCCAAGGGCGAUCUGGACAUUGACUCAAUGCAACAGGCCUGUCAGUUACUCGUCUGCCAUGGAGACUUUAGGAAUUUUUGUAAAAUGGAUGUGCAUAAUGGCGUAACGAAUUACAUGCGUAAUUUGCAGCACGCAGAGAUAAGGCCAUGUGACAAUACAGAACGCCAGUUAGAGCAAAACUCAGGCUAUAUUAUGUAUUAUCUGGAGAUAAAAGCAAAUGCUUUCCUAUGGCAUCAAAUACGAUGCAUCAUGGCUGUGCUGCUGCUAGUUGGACAAAAGAACGAGCAGCCAUCCAUAAUCACUAAAUUACUCGAUGUGGGUAGCAAUCCUUGUAAGCCCCAGUAUACGCCUGCUAUUGGGCUACCACUGAAUCUGUUCCAUUGUGAAUUUCGAUCGCACAGCACGCGUCAAUCGAAUCUUCCAAAUUUAUCACAGAUUGCGAUUGUGGAAAGCGAAAGCGAAAGCCAAAGUGAUCUAACCAAUUGGGUUUACAGUGAGGAGAAUCUACAGAAGCUGAUCGAGAACGUGCAGAGUGAGUGGACGCAGUUCAGUGUCAAGUGCACCAUGAUACGCAAUGUCUUAGUGCAACUGGAGGCACUCCUUGAGCAGAACUUCAAAACACCGCAGAUUCAAGCACAGGCCAUGCUGCUGCAGGAUGCGGCCAAGCCGCGCCAGUAUCAACCAUUGCUGCAGCGCAAACGAUGUGAGAGCUUGGAAAAUCGCAUUGACCAUUUUGUGAAAAAGCAACGACUGCUUGUAAAAAGCGACACAACGACGGAGACGAGUAAAAGUGAAACUGCUGAAUAUUAAUGAAUUUACUACAGCUUGAUGUGAUUUCGUUGUGGUGCUCAGAUUUGCUGGCUUGUUCCCGUAUGGCUGCAAAUCCAAUCAGUUAUAUCAUCCACUCUUCAUGGCAAACAAACCGCAACGUUUCAGUGCAUGUCACAUACGGAGUCUUGCAUUGCGAAUCAUCAGUCAAAUGGAUCACAUAAUGCCACGCUUUGUCACACUUGGUCGCUUAUGGGAUUUAGGGCCCCUAACCGAAACCACAGUCCAGACCAUAAAAGUACCAACCCAGACCUACCCAGAGGCAGCCCCCGUGCGCUUUGGAUCGCAUUACGUACAGUGGAGCCUGGGCCUGGCUACAGAGUGUAAAAAGUAUACGAAAGACUGGGUUCGAAAUGCGACCUGCUUAGAACCACUUUCGAAGACACCGUCACAGUCACAGUCACAGUCAUAGCCUCCGUCCGUUGCCCGCUGCCCGUCUUGUUUAUGGGCGAAACCUGUUUCAAGGACGCGGCGUUGGCGCAGUUCCAAGAACUCGCGGCUCAUUACCGUACCGCACGACGGGCGGGGCAAGUGACUGGAGCAACAACAACAACAAAAACGUGACUCUGAUUCUGCGACUGCUAAACUAUUUCUUUAAGCUGCAUCUGAGUCGCAUAGGACUUAUAAUGAUGCCCGUGACUCUAUCUCGCUCUGGUUUUUAUGCUGCGACUUUUCAUCUGUUACACUUAUAUAUACAUAUAUAUAUAUUUUUUUAAUUUGUCUGCUCGAAAAUACAAUGAAAAGAGCGCAUUUCCUAAUACCCUAUGCUCCACUAAAAAUGGGUAAUUAGGGAAUAAAGCUUAAGUCUGUCCGUUUGCUCGAUAUUUUGGUAGCAGCUAGUCGAACAUUCCAGACCAAGGAACUCUUACUUUCCAGAGACAAAUAGUUUUGCAUGCGGACUUCGAUUAUUUCCCCAACUAGGGUAUUUGUUAGUCUGGCCACUUUUAUUUAUUUAUAUAUAUAUUUAUAUAUAUAGUUUUACGUUUAUUAAAUUUACUAACUGCUUCUUUCUGUACAUAUCUCUCUCAAAUCGCGUCUCGUGGCUUUUGCUCCUGGCAACAAAUCAGAGCCGGCUGCAUAGUUGUAAAAUUCCUGUAAACAAGCCGUGGCUGCCGCUGCAGCUGUGGCAUGUAGUAUAAGUUGUGCCCCGAUACCCAUGCCACUAAGCACUCUGCUCCACACUCACACACACGCACACGCACACACAUACACUCAAAUAUCAGACAGACAACAAUUGCUGCAUUGGAUUUGUUCCAUGGGUAGUCAUUAAAGUUAACGACUGGAAAGUCCACAAAUAACAGUAGAGACUGAGACAGAUAGAGAAAGAGAGAGAUAGAGAGAGAGAGAGAGAUAGAGAGAGAGAGAGAGAGAGAGAGACUGAAAGAAUUAUUUAUCUAAGGCAUUGUAAAAUUCUUUAAAGAGAUUCUACGAGAAUUGAAUACAAAAAAGAAAAACAAAAA